CUCCCCAAGUCUCACGGGAGCUAGGGGUAGGUCUAGGGAAGCGGCGGCGGGAGCGAGCGUGUAGUUCGCGGGAGCUAGGACGCGGCGGCUUGGAAGCGGCAGUCGCUAGGGAAGCCUGAGGAGGCGGUCGGUACGAAAUGGGAGGAGACACACGACCACCACCACUACGUCGCGCAGUAGCUAGCGCUCUAGACGUUCGGGUUCAUGGCGACGCGAACCCGGACACAGCUGUGCCGGCGCCUGCCGCCAACGUCCUGCUGGCUUACGCCGGAGGUCAUGAGUUGCGUUCUAGUCUAGCCGUGGACGGGCUAGGGGUAGGCUCAGGUCCCGUCCGGCACGGCAGGCGCCACUGGCCGGUACGAAGUCGGAAGCGGACGAGGCCGGACUCAGAUCCCGGCAGUCCUGGUGGAGGGUCGGCAAGCUGCCAAACGGACUGAGCGAAGGUCGUACAUACAUACUAGCCAGUAUGGGGCGACGGAAGGAGAAGUGGCCUCGGUUUAUGACCACUACUCGAGUUGUUGUCGUAGUAACAACCAUUUAUGGUAGUCGUGAAUGUCAGAUGAGGUGGAUGUUUCUCGAUACCGUUCCUUUACCGUUUGGUCUUCCUACUCAAUCGGCUUUUCAAAGAUCGACUAAUGGCUCGCUACGGUUGCGAACGUUUCCUUCACUGAAAUCGACGUUGAUCGUUCUACAACUGAUUAAGUGGAAGACAGCGACGAGGACGGUUUCGAACGAAGAGAAAACCAUCGUUCUCUUCAGAGUUCCAGCUUAAAACCCCGGCCCUUCGUGAUCCAAGAGACCACCGGAUGGUGAUUCAUAGUUUCCGUAAAAGUAUACCAAAAAAGGGCAGACAUUCUACCGUUAAGGUAAAUGGUUGGCAUUCCAAACUUCUAAUAAAGAGGUUGCUACACCUCGGCGACUGCGAAUGAGAGGGACUUCUGAGUCACCGGUCGAGUCCGUAAACAGGGUCGAUACGACGAAGGGUAGUUUGAGCUCGAGUCGCGAGGCAGACGUGAGCUCGUGUCGACAGCCGGUAGUCGAGCGAGCUCGUUUGUGGGACCGGCAGGCGUGUGCUAGAGGAGGGUCGGAAGACUGCACAAUAAAAACGUACCUUCCGAUUCGAUAGAGGUGGCCGAGGAAAAAGACAAGCUCGAGGAGGGAUGGGACCGUUUUGGUUUACGAUGGUAGAGGAAAGGAACCGUACGAUUUUGAAUACAGUCAAGUAACAGUACCUAUCUAAUCACUCUUACUCUAACCCUAGAAAUGUGAUGUCUCCUGCUCCUCGAUAUACCCGAUGCUGUACAACGAACUCCACACCAAGACCCUGGACGACAACAAGUUUAAUAUCAAGGGAAUAAAUCUUGAUCCGUAAGGGUGACUAUGACUGGUAUGAACCUCGUAAAGGUCGUCACCGUCAUCUGUGUACACCGUGGUGAAGAACCAUCUAAAACAGGUAAAUGAAAAACAUAGGAAACUUAAUCUUAUAAGAGACGUUCUAAACUCAAACUUAGACCAGUUUAAUAAGAACAUGAGAAACUUAAAUUUAUUACAGAGCAUAGAAUGAUUUAAAACAAAACAUGACCUUCAUAAAUAAAAGAAGUUUAAGAGGUUACUAAGACUUUGUAUCGCCAUUAAAAACGUCCCAAGACACCAUGUGAUUUACAAAUAGCACUACAAGAACGGUAACUACGAAAAGGAACGGCCUACCGUAAACUCUCUCCCUUUCUUGCACUUAAGACGAAAAAUCAACAUAGAUUGCUUUAUAGACCCACCUAAUAAAAAAACUACUUCUUAAUGGAACUGC
rnacentral:rRNA from 1 species